rnacentral:miRNA from 1 species
AAUACCUCAGUCUUUUCAGGUG